rnacentral:rRNA from 1 species
CCUACGGGAGGCAGCAGUGAGGAAUAUUGCGCAAUGGGGGCAACCCUGACGCAGCGACGCCGCGUGGAUGAUGAAGGCCCUUGGGUCGUAAAAUCCUGUCAGAUGGAAAGAAAUGCCACAGGGCUAAUAUCUUUGUGGUUUGACGGUACCAUCAAAGGAAGCACCG